CUUGCGACCAUAUCUCGUUGAAAAACCGGUUCUCAUACGAUCACUAAAGUUAAGCAACGUCAAACCUGGUCAGUUCCUGGAUGGGUGAGCGCUUGGGAAUACCAGGUGAUGUAAG